GAGUGAUUCGAGUGAUAUCAUUAUUUACUGUGCAAUUCCUCGGCGACCAGCAUUAACACCUUCGUUGCAUAAAUAAAAGAUUUCAAUUUUAGACUCUUUUGUCCGCUGUUUCUCGGAGAGUUGAUCGGAGAUGACGGCGACACCGGUCGUCCUAGUUGUUGCCGAGGAUUGAGUCGCCGGAAGUUUUUUUUUUUUGUUUAUGCUUAGAUCUAUGGCUUCAGUUGUUUUGGGGUGAAGAGAGCGGUAAAGAAAUUGUAUUUACGAUGACCAGAUGAGCAAAACAAAGCGGAUGUUAUUGACGGGAAGGAGGGUUUUUUUUUUUCUUCUUCAGCUUCUGGGUAUAGCAAGGGCCUGGCCCCUCUUCUCUUGGGUCGGAAGAACGAAGAAAAAUCCAUGAGAGUUUCACCGUGGAAUUAGUACCAGUUGGUGGACCAAAAUUUAGAUUCUGACCUCCAGCUGGCUUCUGGGAAGAACCGGCUUGUCGCCGGUUGCGCUUCCUUUGUCUGCUUUGGUUGGGCUGUUGCGGCGGGACUUAAGAGUUCAUCUCCUCUGAAAGUGGGCCCCACCCAACGACAGGAAGUUUUGCCAGGUCCUCCUGUUUCUGAGAAGGGCAAGGAUCAGAUUUAUGCUGGUGAUCUUGUAGACAGUGGUAGUAACACAAGAAGUGUUGUUCUUAAGAGUAACUUGAAGAAACCAACAAAUAGCAUUCCGGUUUCUGUUGAGGUUGGUAAUAAAUGUGAAGCAUUGUGUGAAAAGGGUAAAGAUAGCCCUCCUUAUACAGAAAGGAGGAAAGUGCAGUGUAUGGAUGCAUUUGGGAGAGAGCUUGUUGAGAUUCGGGAAUUUGAGCUGAGUGACAAUGGUGGAUCAGAUGACAAAUAUAACGAUGUGAAUAAAAGUUGUUCCUGCAGCAUAAUGUAGUUUGGGCUUUUAUUGGAAUAUUUUAUGGGCUCAGCUUGUAUUAAAGGGUGAUGAAGGAGGCAUCAAUGAACAGGGCCUCAAUGAAUGAGGCGUCCAAAAAUAUAGGGGCAAACUUUUACAUUUUAGCUUAUAUGGAGCCUAACAACAUAGAAUGAAGCUACGUACGCGAAGCUGAUUCUCAAAUAUCUAUGGCUAAGAUAUUAUGGAUUUGUAGAAAUGGUGGCACAAUUGGGAGACAUGCAGUUGCAACUCGUUGCAUCCAUCAAGGUUUUUGGCGUAUCCAUCUCUACUCAGGUGUUCGUCAGUUCCAGUCUUAGAGAUUGUUCGUGCCGAGCAGAGACAUCCAUUCACUCUUCCGACUCUACGUAGGACUCCUCUUCAUUAGUUACUUACUAUUUUUAUUUCGGUUCGGUUAUUUCAGUUAAAAUAUUAUUAGGGGUCCACAAUAUGGAUUCCCGAGUUGUAGUUUAAUUAAUUACUGAUAUCAGAGGAUUGGAGGAUUUUAGUAUGGGAUUUUUAAUUAUCAUUUAUUUGAGGAUUUUUUUUAAAUGAGAAUUAUUUAUUUAGUUUUCUUUUCAGCUUCUUUAUUUAUUCUUAAUUCAUCUUGUAUUCCAAUGCUUGUUUAAAUAUUAAUUGUUUGAUAUCCCUUGUAUUAUGUGCUCGGACUUGAUCACCUGUGG